CCUACGGGAGGCAGCAGUGGGGAAUUUUGGACAAUGGGCGCAAGCCUGAUCCAGCAAUGCCGCGUGAGUGAAGAAGGCCUUCGGGUUGUAAAGCUCUUUUGUCAGGGAAGAAACGGUGGAGGCUAAUAUCCUUUGCUAAUGACGGUACCUGAAGAAUAAGCACCGGCUAACUACGUGCCAGCAGCCGCGGUAAUACGUAGGGUGCAAGCGUUAAUCGGAAUUACUGGGCGUAAAGCGUGCGCAGGCGGUUUUGUAAGUUUGUCGUGAAAUCCCCGGGCUCAACCUGGGAAUGGCGAUGAAGACUGCAAGGCUAGAAUCUGGCAGAGGGGGGUAGAAUUCCACGUGUAGCAGUGAAAUGCGUAGAGAUGUGGAGGAACACCGAUGGCGAAGGCAGCCCCCUGGGUCAAGAUUGACGCUCAUGCACGAAAGCGUGGGGAGCAAACAGGAUUAGAUACCCUGGUAGUCCACGCCCUAAACGAUGUCUACUAGUUGUCGGGUUUUAAUUAACUUGGUAACGCAGCUAACGCGUGAAGUAGACCGCCUGGGGAGUACGGUCGCAAGAUUAAAAACUUAAAGGAAUUGACGG
rnacentral:rRNA from 1 species